rnacentral:rRNA from 1 species
AUUGAACGCUGGCGGCAUGCCUUACACAUGCAAGUCGAACGGCAGCACGGGUGCUUGCACCUGGUGGCGAGUGGCGAACGGGUGAGUAAUACAUCGGAACGUACCUUAUCGUGGGGGAUAACGCAGCGAAAGUUGCGCUAAUACCGCAUACGCCCUGAGGGGGAAAGCGGGGGACCGGAAGGCCUCGCGCGAUUAGAGCGGCCCAUGUCUGAUUAGCUUGUUGGUGAGGUAAAAGCUCACCAAGGCGAUGAUCAGUAGCUGGUCUGAGAGGACGAUCAGCCACACUGGGACGGAGACACGGCCCAGACUCCUACGGGAGGCAGCAGUGGGGAAUUUUGGACAAUGGGGGCAACCCUGAUCCAGCAAUGCCGCGUGAGUGAAGAAGGCCUUCGGGUUGUAAAGCUCUUUUGUCAGGGAAGAAACAGCAGCUCUAACACAGUCUGCGAAUGACGGUACCUGAAGAAUAAGCACCGGCUAACUACGUGCCAGCAGCCGCGGUAA